rnacentral:rRNA from 1 species
GUACCUGAAUCCGUUGGUCUACAAACAGUCAAAGCAGACUUGUUCUGCGAUGGCGUGCCUUUUGAAGAAUGAGCCAACGAGUUACGGUGUGUGGCAAGGUUAACCCGAUGAGGGGAAGCCGGAGCGAAAGCGAGUCUGAACAGGGCGUUCAGUCGCAUGCCGUAGACCCGAAGCCGAGUGAGCUAUCCAUGGGCAGUGUGAAGCGGAGGUAAGACUCUGUGGAGGCGCGAACCGAUUUCAGUUGAAAAUGGAGCGGAUGACCUGUGGAUAGGGGUGGAAGGCCAAUCAAACUCGGUGAUAGCUGGUUCUCCGCGAAAUGCAUUUAGGUGCAGCGUCGUGCGUUCAACGAUGGGGGUAGAGCACUGAAUGGGCUAGGGGUCCUACAAGACUACCGACCCCAAUCAAACUCCGAAUACCAUCGUUCCAGAGCACGGCAGUGAGACCUCGGGGGAUGAGCUUCGAGGUCGAGAGGGAAACAGCCCAGACCGCCGGCUAAGGUCCCAAAAUCUGAACUAAGUGGUAAACGAUGUGAGAUUGCGAAGACAGCCAGGAGGUUGGCUUGGAAGCAGCCAUCCUUGAAAGAGUGCGUAACAGCUCACUGGUCGAGUGAUCUUGCGCGGACAAUGUAACGGGGCUCAAGUUCAGUACCGAAGCCGCGGAUGCGACUCUUUGAGUCGUGUGGUAGCGGAGCGUCGAGCGUGCAGCGAAGCGGCGGGACAACCCAGCCGUGGAGCGCGUUCGAGUGCGAAUGUUGGCAUGAGUAGCGAAUGAGGGGUGAGAACCCCCUCCGCCGUAUGUCCAAGGGUUCCUGGGCGAGGCCAAUCCUCCCAGGGUGAGUCGGGAGCUAAGGCGAGGCCGAGAGGCGUAGUCGAUGCACAACUGGUUGAUAUUCCAGUACCACCAUGUUCGCGUCCGUCCCAAUACUCUGUUGCUAAGGGGCUGUGUUGACUUCGGUCAACGCGAACCGACCCACAUUGUUGCGGGAAGCUGUAGGGGGACGCAGGAAGGUAGAUGAACCCGGUGAAUGGUAGAACCGGGGUAAGCGUGUAGGAGGAGGACCAGGUAAAUCCGGGCCUCAUAAACUCUGAGACGUGAUACCGAGCCGCUUCAGGCGAAGUCAUUGAUCCUAUGCUGCCUAGAAAAGCCCAGCAGCGAGUUGACAUGGUGCCCGUACCCCAAACCAACACAGGUGGACAGGUAGAGCAUACCAAGGCGAGUGGGAUAACCAUGGUUAAGGAACUCGGCAAAUUGCCUCCGUAACUUCGGGAGAAGGAGGACCCCAGUAGCGUGAUGAGACUUGCUCUCUGAGCGUGAAGGGGUGGCACAAAAUUGAGGGAAGCGACUGUUUACCAAAAACACAGCAGCGUGCUAAGCCGUAAGGCGCUGUAUACGCUGUGACUCCUGCCCGGUGCUGGAAGGUUACGGGGAUGGGUUAGUCCUUCGGGACGAAGCUUUGAACCUAAGCCCCAGUAAACGGCGGCCGUAACUAUAACGGUCCUAAGGUAGCGAAAUUCCUUGUCGGGUAAGUUCCGACCUGCACGAAUGGAGUAACGACUUCCCUACUGUCUCAACCAUAGACCCAGCGAAAUUGAAGUACGAGUAAAGAUGCUCGUUAGCUGCAGAAGGACGGAAAGACCCCGUGGACCUUUACUAUAACUUGAUGUUGUGU